rnacentral:rRNA from 1 species
UACGGAGGGGGCUAGCGUUGUUCGGAAUUACUGGGCGUAAAGAGCGCGCAGGCGGUCGUUCAAGUCGAGUGUGAAAGCCCCCGGCUCAACUGGGGAGGGUCAUUCGAUACUGAUCGACUCGAAGGCAGGAGAGGGUAGUGGAAUUCCCGGUGUAGUGGUGAAAUGCGUAGAUAUCGGGAGGAACACCAGUGGCGAAGGCGACUACCUGGCCUGUUCUUGACGCUGAGGCGCGAAAGCUAGGGGAGCAAACGGG